AUUGAACGCUGGCGGCAUGCCUUACACAUGCAAGUCGAACGGCAGCACGGGGGCAACCCUGGUGGCGAGUGGCGAACGGGUGAGUAAUGCAUCGGAACGUACCCGGAAGUGGGGGAUAACGUAGCGAAAGUUACGCUAAUACCGCAUAUUCUGUGAGCAGGAAAGAGGGGGAUCGCAAGACCUCUCGCUUUCGGAGCGGCCGAUGUCGGAUUAGCUAGUUGGUGGGGUAAAGGCCUACCAAGGCGACGAUCCGUAGCGGGUCUGAGAGGAUGAUCCGCCACACUGGGACUGAGACACGGCCCAGACUCCUACGGGAGGCAGCAGUGGGGAAUUUUGGACAAUGGGGGCAACCCUGAUCCAGCCAUGCCGCGUGAGUGAAGAAGGCCUUCGGGUUGUAAAGCUCUUUCGGCCGGGACGAAAUCGCACUCUCUAAUACGGGGUGUGGAUGACGGUACCGGAAUAAGAAGCACCGGCUAACUACGUGCCAGCCGCCGCCGUAACAC
rnacentral:rRNA from 1 species